rnacentral:rRNA from 1 species
GACGAACGCUGGCGGCGUGCUUAACACAUGCAAGUCGAACGGAAAGGCCCUGCUUUUGUGGGGUGCUCGAGUGGCGAACGGGUGAGUAACACGUGAGUAACCUGCCCUUGACUUUGGGAUAACUUCAGGAAACUGGGGCUAAUACCGGAUAGGAGCUCCUGCUGCAUGGUGGGGGUUGGAAAGUUUCGGCGGUUGGGGAUGGACUCGCGGCUUAUCAGCUUGUUGGUGGGGUAGUGGCUUACCAAGGCUUUGACGGGUAGCCGGCCUGAGAGGGUGACCGGCCACAUUGGGACUGAGAUCCGGCCCAGCCUCCUACGGGAGGCAGCAGUGGGGAAUAUUGCACAAUGGGCGGAAGCCUGAUGCAGCAACGCCGCGUGCGGGAUGACGGCCUUCGGGUUGUAAACCGCUUUCGCCUGUGACGAAGCGUGAGUGACGGUAAUGGGUAAAGAAGCACCGGCUAACUACG